GCGCAAUCUCAGCUCAGUGCAACCUCUGCCUCCCAAGUUUAAGCAAUUCUCCUGCCUCAGCCUCCCUAGUAGCUGGGAUUUCAGGCACCACCACACCCAGCUAAUUAAGUCUGAGAAUUUUAAGUUCCAACUUGGCCUUCCACAGUGUUGUCAAAAUAGGAGGAAAGUGCACUUUGACCUCUUGAUUCAUAGAUUUAAAAUAUUCUGGCAUAAAGGGCCUUGUCCCAGAUCUCAAGUGUUAGGGAAGCACUUGGUCAUUUUCUUCCCUUUCUGGCAUAUUAGAGAAAAUGAUGUGUACAUAAAAUUUCCUCAUAAUUUUCAGCUUCACAAUUUAUACUACGGUAAUGAGCGCCGGUAGCCCAGACAAGUACAUGACUAGGAUCAGAAACCCGAGUAGAAAUGAGCAAGAAGAACCCAUCAGGUGAUUGUCAGGCCUCUGAGCCCAAGCUAAGCCAUCAUAUGCCCUGUGACCUGCACGUAUACAUCCAGAUGGCCUGAAG
rnacentral:lncRNA from 1 species